AUGUCCAGUGUAUACGCUUGCACGUUGUCCUUCUUCCUUGCCGUGCUAAAUCCGGUGAUCCUCGCCCUUGGUGCCGCCGGAAGCAGCGGUGAGGCCGGAUUCAGCCUGCCCCUCGUGCCCCAUUACCGCACUGCAGCAGGCGUACUUGACGAGCUCCUGCUGGAAGGUGAUGCCGAGGGCGGCAUGAACAUCACGUCCAUACGCCCCAAGAUGAUCCCAUAUUCGGGGGCCAUAUACAGUGUCCGUGUCGGCAUUGGCAGCGGCGAAACCCAGCACUUCUACAAGCUCGCGCUCGAUCUCGUCCACCCCCUAACGUGGAUGAGGUGCCAACCAUGCAUACCGGAGAAGAAGCAGGAUGGCUCCGUCUUCAACACUGCCGUCUCCCCUCAUUACCACUUCAUUGCGUCCACAGAUCCUCGUUGCACGGCUCCGCACAAGCGCGCCGGCCAGGGGCAGGGCCGGUGCACCUUCGAAAUCAAGUUCCAGUACGAGCGCUCAAGAGCGCACGGCCUCCUUAGCACCGACGACUUUGUCUUCGACGGCAGCGGCCCCGGCAGCCCCAUCAGCGGUGUGGGCGGCCUUGUCUUCGGCUGCGCGCACACCACGCACAACUUCAUUAACCACGACAUCUGGGCCGGCGUCAUGAGCCUCAACAGGCACCCGACCUCCUUCAUCCGGCAGCUCUCGGACCGCGGCCUCGCCGCCUCGUGCUUCUCGUAUUGCCUCGUUGGCAGGGAGCACGACAACCAGCGUGGCUUCCUCCGGUUCGGCGCCGACAUCCCGGACCAGUCGCACACACGGAGCACAAAGCUGCUGCACGGAGAACUCGCCCAAGGAGGAGGCAUGUACUACGUCCGCCUCGACGGCAUCAGCCUGGGCGGGCGAAGGCUCACGGCGAUCACGCCGGCGAUGUUCGAACGCAACCCGCACAGCCUCCACGGCGGGUGCAUCCUCGACAUUGGGACGGCGGACACCUUGUUGACUCCAGACGCGUACCGUGUCCUGGUGGCCGAGGUCGUGGCGCACAUGCACAGCCGCGGGGUGCACCGCGCGACUGUGCCGGGGGUGCAGAAGCUGAAACUCUGCUUCCACGGGACGUGGCAGAGUAUCCGCGCGCACUUACCGAGCAUGACGCUCCACUUCAACCCGGAAUCAGCCGUGCUCUAUAUCAAGCCGGAGCUGCUGUUCGUGGCGGUGACGCACGAACAUACCAAAAACACUGUAUCUCGAAAAGUUUCUGCUUCCAGGUUUACCCAUUUGUGUGAAAGUGACUUCUUGAUCAGUUGGAUGGCGACGUGCAUUAUUUUGGUAGAUUACCGUGUAGAAUCGCGCGGUGGCCGUAGGCCUUCGAUGAAAAUUUGUUAA
rnacentral:rRNA from 1 species